GCAAGUAGGGGAGAGCGGGGCUGAAAGUGCCGGGGGUAAAUUGUGCCGACGCGAAUAUCUCAAAAACAGAAAGAGAUAGAUAUACGAUCGUAUUGUGUCGCGUAAGGCCUAACAGUCGCGCACACGCGGCUGCCAUUUUAGUUGCGUCAGCGACGCGGACCGAGUCGUACUGCAUGUGAGGGUCCUCCAGCGCCACUACUGUUUAUAUUUACGCGAACAAUUAUGAAAGAAAGAAAAUAUGCAGUUUCCAGCCUCCUCAAUCAGUUGAUAAUAACACAGGAGAUAAAAAUGCAGCAGUUUUCUCACCAGAGCUAAUAAGACCUAAAGCACCUCCCCGACUAAUUGGACAUACUAAAGCACGUAAAAGAAAGACAGCUGUUCCUACGGACACUCCAGAGAAAAAUGCUUUAGCAGAAGAACAGGCUAGUAAAAAGAAGAAAAAAGAAAGCGAAAAUAAAAAGAAGGUUAAGGGAAAAGGGACGGGAAAAUGCAAGGGAAA